GGCUCAUAUAAUAUUCUGAAGUCAGGUCUAUAUAUAACCAGACGAUAACAAGGAGAUUCAAGAGUCCAGAAUCAUCAAGAGAAGUUAUAUUUUAAUUUAGUUUUUAAACAUAAAUAAUUUCUUACAAAUUCAAAGAGCUUGAAAAUGAGUACAGCCACUUUCGUAGAGAUCCUUCUGGCUAUCCUCUUGCCUCCUCUCGGCGUCUUUCUCAAAUUUGGCUUAAAGGUUGAGUUUUGGAUAUGUUUGAUCUUGACGCUGUUUGGUUAUCUUCCCGGGAUCCUUUACGCUCUUUAUAUCAUCACCAAGGACUGAUUUUCAUCUCAUUUGUUUUUCCUCUCGGUCUCCUUGUUGAAUUUUGGAUAUGUUUGGUUUUGACGCUUUUUGGGUAUCUUCCUGGGAUCCUCUACGCCCUUUAUGUCCUCACCAAAUAAAUUACCAUCAAUCCUCUCUUCUUUUCAUUUCAUCUCCUUGAACAACUGUUUCGUCGUGUUUUCCUAUCUUUGUGUAACUGUGAUUGAUUCAUCGUUUCUUUAGUCAGGGUUUUAUCAUUGUUGUGUGUUGCAUACCUUUUGUUGAUAUAAAGAAGAGAUCCUUUGUUUUGUGUGAAGAACUUGUUUAUUCAAGUUUUUCAAAUAUAUAAUAGUUUUUUCUAUC